CCAAUAGCGUAUAUUAAAGUUGUUGCAGUUAAAAAGCUCGUAGUUGAAUUUCGGGAUCAGUAGGUCGGUCGUGCCACUGGUAUGAACUGGUCUCACUGGUUCCUCCCUCUUGACGAACUGCAAUGCUAUUAAUUUAGUGUUGUAGGAAAUCAGGACUGUUACUUUGAAAAAAUUAGAGUGUUUAAAGCAGGCUUUGGCUUGAAUACAUUAGCAUGGAAUAAUGAAAUAGGACGUUCGAUCCUAUUUUGUUGGCUUCUAGGAUUGACGUAAUGAUUAAUAGGGACAGUUGGGGGCAUUAGUAUUCAAUUGUCAGAGGUGAAAUUCUUGGAUUUAUUGAAGACUAACUACUGCGAAAGCAUUUGCCAAGGAUGUUUUCAUUAAUCAAGAACGAAAGUUAGGGGAUCGAAGACGAUCAGAUACCGUCGUAGUCUUAACCAUAAACUAUGCCGACUAGGGAUCGGAUGAUGUUAAUUUUAUAAUGACUCAUUCGGCGCCUUACG
rnacentral:misc_RNA from 1 species